UACGGACCUGACGGCAAGGGACGAAAGCUAGGGGCACGAACCGGAUUAGAUACCCGGGUAGUCCUAGCCGUAAACGAUACUCGCUAGGUGUCGGCCACGGUGCGACCGUUGUCGGUGCCGUAGGGAAGCCGUGAAGCGAGCCACCUGGGAAGUACGGCCGCAAGGCUGAAACUUAAAGGAAUUGGCGGGGGAGCACCACAACGGGUGGAGCUUGCGGUUUAAUUGGAUUCAACGCCGGAAAUCUUACCGGGACCGACAGCAAUAUGAAGGCCAGGCUGAAGACUUUGCCGGAUUAGCUGAGAGGUGGUGCAUGGCCGUCGUCAGUUCGUACUGUGAAGCAUCCUGUUAAGUCAGGCAACGAGCGAGACCCAA
rnacentral:rRNA from 1 species